rnacentral:rRNA from 1 species
UACGGAGGGUGCAAGCGUUAUCCGGAUUCACUGGGUUUAAAGGGUGCGUAGGCGGCUUGAUAAGUCAGUGGUGAAAGCUCGCAGCUUAACUGUGAAACUGCCAUUGAAACUGCCAAGCUUGAGUACGAUUGAUGUGGGCGGAAUACAUCAUGUAGCGGUGAAAUGCUUAGAUAUGAUGUAGAACACCGAUUGCGAAGGCAGCUCACAAAAUCGCAACUGACGCUGAGGCACGAAAGCGUGGGGAGCAAACAGG